GAUGAACGCUAGCGGCAGGCUUAACACAUGCAAGUCGAGGGGUAUAGUAGCAAUACUAGAGACCGGCGCACGGGUGCGUAACGCGUAUGCAAUCUACCUUUUACAGAGGGAUAGCCCAGAGAAAUUUGGAUUAAUACCUCAUAGCAUUGCGAAAUGGCAUCAUUUUGCAAUUAAAGUCACAACGGUAAAAGAUGAGCAUGCGUCCCAUUAGCUAGUUGGUAAGGUAACGGCUUACCAAGGCAACGAUGGGUAGGGGUCCUGAGAGGGAGAUCCCCCACACUGGUACUGAGACACGGACCAGACUCCUACGGGAGGCAGCAGUGAGGAAUAUUGGACAAUGGGCGCAAGCCUGAUCCAGCCAUGCCGCGUGCAGGAUGAAGCAUCUAUGGUGUGUAAACUGCUUUUGUACGAGAAGAAACAUCCCGACGUGUCGGGACUUGACGGUAUCGUAAGAAUAAGGACCGGCUAACUCCGUG
rnacentral:rRNA from 1 species